AGAGUUUGAUCAUGGCUCAGGACGAACGCUGGCGGCGUGCUUAACACAUGCAAGUCAAGGGGAAACCCGAGCUUCGGUUUGGGGAGUAUACUGGCGGACGGGUGAGUAACGCGUAGGCAACCUGGCCUUGUGUUUGGAAUAACUUCGAGAAAUCGGGGCUAAUACCGGAUAUGGCAACGAAUCUGCAUGGAUUGGUUGUGAAAGGUAUUCCACGUUGGUGGGCUAUCGCGCAAGGAUGGGUCUGCGUUCCAUUAGCUAGAUGGUAGGGUAAUGGCCUACCAUGGCGACGAUGGAUAGCUGAUCUGAGAGGAUGAUCAGCCACACUGGGAUUGAGAUACGGCCCAGACUCCUACGGGAGGCAGCAGUGAGGAAUAUUGCGCAAUGGGGGCAACCCUGACGCAGCAACGCCGCGUGGGGGAAGAAGCUCUAUGGAGUGUAAACCCCUGUAGGUAGGGAAGAAUGGUAUGAUUUUACAAGAGGUCAUAGGNGACG
rnacentral:rRNA from 1 species